GUUUGCACUUGUCGGGGAAGGGUGAGAACCUUCGAUUAAGGUUCGACUUGAGCGAAAGCGAGAGAACGUUGCCAACGGCAACGGCCCGUAGGGUGAGGAG
rnacentral:sRNA from 1 species